UUUGUUUUCGAGACUUGUAAUGGUCUGAGAAAAUAUGCACAGUGAAUCUGAAUAAGCUGUUAGAUAUGAGUAGGUCAUGGAGCGAUCAUAUUGAAGUGAAUUUCAUAAGAGAAUCCUUUUCUGGAUUUCAUGCAUUUCCUUGAACACAGAUUUGUUUCUAAACAUUAUCUGUUAUGCUUCAUUUUAAUGUAUGCAAAUUUUUAAUAUAAUUUUGUUAGGGAGCUAGUGUUUCUAAGUUCUAACUGCAACAGUCCCUGGAUGAGUAGGCUUGUUCGAAUCUAGUAUCUUCUUUGUUGUAGUACACUACUUAUGGAAUAUUUUGUUAUUAGAAUAAUUUUGUUUCCUAAUAAUUAUCAAAAUGCUUGUAGCAGUUCCUUCGUCCGUCCCCCCCCAUUCAGUGUAUUGUUGUAUCCCGCAAAAAAAAGUCUAUAUUGGCGUGACAAAUACUGGUAAGUUACUAUAUUCGUCUAGUUUUUGUUACCCACAAGAGAGUUCGAUGAUCCGAUGGGCUGAAGCUUCUAUGCGUUGGCUAGUACUGUAUAAUACUAAUGUUCUGCAAAGGAGACUGAAUGGCGUGAAGGAAGAGCUGCAGCAACUGCAUCUGUGAGACAAAAAUGAGGAAUGAGAAGUUGGGUUAACUUCUUCACAGGUAGGGGAAGCAAUAGAUCAAGUUCACUGGCCACCGGCUGGCAAUGGCUAAACCGUGUUUGCUUGCUUUUCUUGUCACUGAAGUUGAGACUUCAGUAGUGCUGGUAUUUACAGUUUAGCCCUAUGCUUGAUCCACCCUAUUGGCUCAGAACUGAAUUCAGCACUGCAAGUGCUUCAUAGGAUUAGGGCUGACACCGUGGCAGUAAUUGAUGCAGUAUGCUCUUGUUAUUGUGUUUCUAUCUCUUGUUAACUUUGUCGAUCCAACGAGUACUUGGAAGUUGGACGCAAGUGAGGCUGUGCCGUUCUGUUCCAGACUUUAGAUGUCGUGUCUUCAAAAUUUCAUCGUCUUUGUUUCAACUCCAUCAGCAAUCCGGUGGGAUGUCAGAGCCAAUUACCAAUUUCCCGCGACUUAGUUGUUGUGAAAAGUUUUGACUUGGGAGUUGUUGAAAGCCAUGCUUGUUCGCCGUGUCUUCUUAUCUUGGAUGAUAUAUGUCAAAAAGGGACUCAUAUCUGAGAUCUUUCUAGAAGAUUUAAUUUACAAAAUCUAUAGUUUUUGUAUACUCUUUGAUAGGGUGGAAACUCUCGGACGAGGAAAAUGAUCCAUGUGAAAGAAUCCACUAAGAGGCGGAGAAAAUUCGAGACAUAUGCAAGCACAACACUGGAAAGGACCUUGAGAGAGAGAAAACAAUACAAACAGGUCCCGUAGAACUUCACCAUGAGACCUUGUCAUCGCCCGACGCCUUCCUCCAUAGUCGAUGGAGUGCUCGUCAGAGGGGAAACCGAGCAUCCUUUACAUCAGGCAGGUGAGGAGGAUCUUCACUUGUCCGCUCUUGGAGGCCUCAAGAGUGGCUCAAAGGGUUUCGGCUUUGUGGAAUGCGGUAGCAGUACUCUAUCACCGCCCAAGAAACCAAAAAGAGCUAAGAGUUGUAGAUGCAGAAUACAAUAUUAGCCAGUAGUAUUGGUAGUUGGUGCAUCGACAACCAUUGAAGAAUAAAACAGUAGUUGUAGGAAUGGUACUAUGGUAUUGUGUAUUUCAGUUGUAGCAGAGCUUACAUUCCUCUUGAGAGGAAGACGUCCUUUGUACAUUCAUGGCUUAUAAUACUGAGUUUGUAAUUUUGGAUAUGCAA